AGUCUGUGAUGACAAAUUUCAAGGCUUGUUUCUCAAAACAUUCGCAGUGGCCGACUAAGAGCUUUCGCCUUCGCCUGGCUUGAGAGCUUGUGCUGCUCCAAUCCUUCCUUGGAUGUCUGAGACA
rfam:Nelumbo nucifera unplaced genomic scaffold scaffold00027, whole genome shotgun sequence